AUGCACACACCAACACCCACAAUCACAUCAACUCAAGCCUUCAUCUUUCUAGCCAUCUUCUCUCUUACAGUCCUACUCAACAUGGCUUCCAUGGGGUUCAGCUACGCACAGGUACACGUGAAGCAAGAGAGACUGAUGAGGAGGAUCAGCGACAGCAAGAGGGCUUCGGCGACGGCGACGGUAGACAAGUCGAUGACCCGAGAAGAAGAGAAGAUGAAGGAGCAUUUCAUGGGUGAAGAGGAGAAGAAGGCAACUUGCAACUCAUGGACCGCCGGGAGGGUGCAUCCGUGUGCGUCUUCCCUGGCAGCUGCGGCGCCAAGGGGUGGGCACCGAUGA
rnacentral:rRNA from 1 species